CCUACGGGAGGCUGCAGUGGGGAAUAUUGGGCAAUGGAGGAAACUCUGACCCAGCAACGCCGCGUGAAUGAUGAAGGUCUUCGGAUUGUAACGUUCUUUUCUAAGGGAAGAAGAAAGUGACGGUACCUUAGGAAUAAGCCUCGGCUAACUACGUGCCAGCAGCCGCGGUAAUUCGUAGGAGGCGAGCGUUAUCCGGAAUGGCUGGGGGUAAAGGGUGCGUUGGUGGUUUGGCAAGGUAGUAGCGUAACUCCAAGGCUCAACCUUGGAACUACUACUAAAACUGUUGGACGUGAGUGCAGGAGGGGAAACCGGAAUUCGUGGUGUAGCGGUGGAAUGCGUAGAUAUUAGGAGGAACACCAGUGGCGAAGGCGGGUUGCUGGACUGUAACUGACACUGAGGCACGAAAGCGUGGGGAGCAAACAGGAUUAGAUACCCCAGUAGUC
rnacentral:rRNA from 1 species